GUGCACAAACUCCAUCCCCUCUAGCAUAGCUAGGGUUUCUGCUUGGAGUGCAGAUUGCACUCUCACUUGGCAUGCAAAUCCUCCUAAGAAAACACCGGCGGCAUCUCUACAGACUCCGGCGAUUGCUCCGGUGGAUGUGCCCUCACGAAACCCUCCAUCUACAUUUCUUUUCAGCGACUUCGAGGCAGGGGGACUCCACUUCGUAGCAGAGGGCUUCGGUGACUGCUCUAUCCGGAUCCGGUGGUUUCUUUCGGAAGAUAGCCCCAUUCCUCUCUUUCCACACUACCCAGAGCAUUUCGGCGACUAGUUCGAGGGGUGGUGUGUCUGGGACAAAGCAAAAAUAAAUGCUCUGCUGUUUCGGGCUUCAUUUUGCACAGAUGACACGUCGGUGCAGGUAUGAUUUUCCG